rnacentral:rRNA from 1 species
GACGUAGGGGGCGAGCGUUGUCCGGAUUUAUUGGGCGUAAAGCGCGCGCAGGCGGCCCGGUAAGUCGGAUGUGAAAACCCGCGGCUCAACCGCGGGCGGUCAUUCGAUACUGCCGGGCUCGAGGCAGGUAGGGGAGAUCGGAAUUCCCGGUGUAGCGGUGAAAUGCGCAGAUAUCAGGAGGAACACCAAUGGCGAAGGCAGCUCGCUGGGACGGUACUGACGCUGAGGCGCGAAAGCGUGGGGAGCAAACAGGAUUAGAAACCCUGGUAGU